AGGGCAAAUCAAUACGACCAGCUCCUAUUGAACUCCUCCAGGUGCGGAAGCAAGCAAAGGUAAAUAGUUGUAGCGGUGCGAUAUUGGUUUGCUUUUUU
rnacentral:SRP_RNA from 1 species